UACGGGGGGGGCAAGCGUUGUUCGGAAUUACUGGGCGUAAAGGGCUCGUAGGCGGCCAACUAAGUCGGAUGUGAAAUCCCCAGGCUUAACCUGGGAACUGCAUCCGAUACUGGAUGGCUUGAAUCCGGGAGAGGGAUGCAGAAUUCCAGGUGUAGCGGUGAAAUGCGUAGAUAUCUGGAGGAAUACCGGUGGCGAAGGCGGGUCUCUGGGCCGAUACUGACGCUGAGGAGCGAAAGCGUGGGGAGCGAACAGG
rnacentral:rRNA from 1 species